UACGUAGGGGGCGAGCGUUGUCCGGAGUUACUGGGCGUAAAGCGCACGCAGGCGGUCUGCUAAGUUUGGAGUGACAGCUGGUGGCUUAACUGCCAAAGUGCUUCGAAAACUGACAGACUUGAGGGCUUCAGAGGGACACGGAAUUCCGGGUGGAGUGGUGAAAUGCGUAGAGAUCCGGAGGAACACCGACGGCGUAGGCAGCGCCCUGGCUGUGAAUAAAGCUGACACUGAGGCACGAAAGCUGGGGGAGCAAACAGG
rnacentral:rRNA from 1 species